UCAGACUGCCUGCUCAAAAUGAAGUUUCCUGUUGUGCUGUUGGUGCUGCUGGUGUUCAGGAUUCCUGCUUCCAGAGGUGAUGUUGUGAUGACCCAAACUCUACUCUCCCUGCCUGUCAGCCUUGGGGAUGAAGCCUCCAUCUCUUGCAGGUCUAGUCAGAGUGUUGUACAUAGUAAUGGAAACACCUAUUUGCACUGGUACCUACAGAAGCCAGGCCAGUCCCCACAGCUCCUGAUAUACAAGGUUUCCAAUAGAUACUCUGGAGUCCCAGACAGGUUCAGUGGCAGUGGGUCAGGCACAGAUUUCACACUCAAGAUCAGCAGAGUAGAGCCUGAGGAUUUGGGAGUUUAUUACUGUUUCCAAGUUCACAUGCUCCUCUCACAGUGA